CUUGCUAUGAGCUAUUUUAGCGGCGGACGGGUGAGUAACGCGUGAGGAACCUGCCUUGAAGAGGGGGACAACAGCUGGAAACGGCUGCUAAUACCGCAUAAGACCACACUAGCACAUGCUAGAGGGGUAAAAGAUUUAUCGCUGAAAGAUGGCCUCGCGUCUGAUUAGCUAGUUGGUGAGGUAACGGCCCACCAAGGCGACGAUCAGUAGCCGGACUGAGAGGUUGAACGGCCACAUUGGGACUGAGAUACGGCCCAGACUCC
rnacentral:rRNA from 1 species